rnacentral:misc_RNA from 1 species
CUCCCGGAACCCUGUCCUCAACUCCAAUCACCACCCUUUGCUCCAUUCUAACGGUGAAGGACCCUCCUCGCCUAGCAUGUCAGUGUUGACCGUUCAGUCAGCUACUAUGGGUAACGGUAGAGGUGACGCCUCUGUCAAAGAUGCUGCCUCCGUUUCCAAGCCGUGAUAACGACGUUGGCUGACUGACUGACUCUUUGGCUUUUUUUUUUUUU